GACGAACGCUGGCGGCGUGCUUAACACAUGCAAGUCGAACGGAAAGGCCCUGCUUUUGUGGGGUGCUCGAGUGGCGAACGGGUGAGUAACACGUGAGUAACCUGCCCUUGACUUUGGGAUAACUUCAGGAAACUGGGGCUAAUACCGGAUAGGAGCUCCUGCUGCAUGGUGGGGGUUGGAAAGUUUCGGCGGUUGGGGAUGGACUCGCGGCUUAUCAGCUUGUUGGUGGGGUAGUUGCUUACCAAGGCUUUGACGGGUAGCCGGCCUGAGAGGGUGACCGGCGACAUGGGGACUGAGAUAGGGAGCAGACUCCUACGGGAGGCAGCAGUGGGGAAUAUUGUACAAUGGGCGGAAGCCUGAUGCAGCAACGCCGCGUGCGGGAUGACGGCCUUCGGGUUGUAAAACGCUUUCGCCUGUGACGAAGCGUGAGUGACGGUAAUGGGUAAAGAAGCACCGGCUAACUACGUG
rnacentral:rRNA from 1 species